UGACCCCAGGUCAGGCGAGAUUACCCGCUGAGUUUAACCAUAUCAAUAAGCGGAGGAAAAUAAACUUACAAGGAUUCCCUUCGUAACGGGGAGCUAAUCGGGAACAGCCCAACAUUAGAAUCUGGCGGCUACAUCGUCCGAAUUGUAUUCUGGAGAAGCGUCCUCAGCGGAGGAUCGGGCCCAUGUCCCCUGGAAGGGGACGCCAGAGAGGGUGACAGCCCCGUUGUCCCUGGACCCUGCCACACGACGAGUCGCUGUCUACGAGUCGGGCUGUUUGGGAAUACAACUCAAAUCAAGCGGUGAAUUUCGUCCUAGGCUAAAUACCAGAGAGAGACCGAUAACGAACAAGUACCGCGAGGGAAAGAUUAAAAGGACUUUGAAAAUAGAGUCAAAGAGUGCUUGAAAUUAUUGGGAGGGAAGAAGAUGGAAGCUGACGAUGCACCCUGGUCAUAUGUGGAACGGUGACGAGCUGGUUCGUCGAUCGACUCGGGGCGUGGACCAGCGUGGAUUAGGGGGGCGGUCAAAGCCCGAGUUCUUGAUAUGCCCGUGGAAUGCUGUCUCAUUGAUUUUGGUACGAAGCGUGCGCUUCUGGCGUGCUUCGACAUCUGUGUGCUCCGGACACUAGCUGUGGGCUCCCCAUUUGACCCAUCUUUAAACACCAACCAAGGAGUUUGACAUGUUUCCGACUCAAUGAGUUAGUAAAUUCGUAAGGCAUAAGGAAUCUGAUUCGUGGGAUCCUCUUGAGGGGUGCACCGCCGCCGACCUUGAUCUUCUGAGAAGGGUUCGAGUGUGAGCAUACCUGCUAGGACCCGAAAGAUGGUGAAUUAUGCCUGAGCGGGGAGAAGCCAAAGCAUACUCUAGUGGAGGACCGUUGUGAUACUGAUGUGCAAAUCGUUCAUCUGACUUGGGUAUAUGGGCGAAAGACUAAUUGAACCAUCUAGUAACUAGUUCCAUUCGAAGUUUCCCUCAGAAUAGCUAGAGAUCGGGUGCGAAUUUUAUCGGAUAAAGCCAAUGAUUUGAGGCUUCAUGGGGCAACACCCUGACCUAUUUUCAAACUUUAAAUCAUAAGGAUGACGUGACUGCUUUGUUGAGCUGCACCACGGAAUCAAGAACUCCAAGUGGGCCAUUUUUGGUAAGCUGGACUGGCAAUGAGGGAUGAACCGAAAGCCGGCUUAUGGUUCCAAACUGCAUUCUAACCAAGAUCCAACAAAGGGUGUUGGUCAAUUAAGACAGCAGGAAAGUGGUCAUGGAAGUCAAAAUCCGCUAAGGAGUGUGUACCAACUCACCUGCGGAGUAAACUAGCCCCGAAAAUGGAUGGGCACUUAAGUGUGCGAUCUACACUUAGCCGUCGGGGUAAAUGCCAGACCCCGAAGAGUUGGAGGGAAUGGCGGUCGCUCCAAAACCUUGGGCAUGAGCCUGUGCGGAGAAGCCGUUAAUGUAGAUCUUGGUGGUAGUAGAAAAUAUUCAAACGAGAACUUUGAAGGCCGAAAAGGGGAAAGGUUCAAUGUGAACGGCACCAGCACAUGGGUUAGUCAAUCCUUUGGGUCGGGGGAACCCCAACAGAUAGCGCAUUUCGUGCGUACUCCGGAAGGGAAUGGGUUAAAAUUCCUGAACCUGAACGUGGAGGUUGACGACAACGUUAGGAAGUCGGCAAACGUUGGUGGGACCUUCGGGAAGAGCUGUCUUUUUUGUUUAACAGCAUGCCCACCGUGGAAUCGGCUUGCCGGAGGUAGGGUCCAGCGGCUGGAAGAGCACCAGACGUCACGUGGUGUCUGGUGCGCUCUCGACUAUCCUUGAAAAUCUAGAGGACCUAAUGUCGUCCACACUCGGUCGUACUCAUAACUGCAUCAGGUCUCCAAGGUGAAUAACCUCUAGUUGAUGGAACAAUGUAGGCAAGGAAAGUCAGAAAAAUGGAUCCGUAACUUCGUGAAAAGAAAUAUGCUCGGAGUGUUUCGCAUGGGGGUCCUAGUACUGAACCCACUGGCUGUUGAUGAACUGCAUGAGCUGAUCCCACGGAAAUUGUGGGUUACCGUGUGCCGGAUGGGGGACGGACUGGGAACGGUUCUUUCAGGGGCCUUCCCCGGGAGUCAAACAACCAACUCAAAACUGUUACAGACAAGGGGAAUUUGACUUUUUAUUUAAAACAAAGCAUUGCGAUGGUCCCAAUGGAUGUUUACACAAUGUGAUUUUUGUCUAGUGUUCUGAAUGUCAAAGUGAAGAAAUUCAACCAUGCGUGGGUAAACGGUCGGAGUAACUAUGACUCUCUUAAGGUAGCCAAAUGCCUCUUCAUCUAAUUAGUGAUGCGUAUGAAUGUAUUAAUAAGAUUCCCACUGUCCCUGUCUAAUAUACAGCGAAACCACAGCCAAGGGAACAUGUUUGGCAGAAUCAGCGGGGAAAGAAGACCCUUUUGAGCUUGAAUCUAGUCCGACUUUAUGAAAUGACCUGAGAGGUGUAGUAUAAGUGGGAGUUGAAAGGCGAAAGUGCAAUACCACUACUUUUAACGUUAUUUUACUUAUUCCGUGAAUAGGAAGAGGGGGAGUACCCCUCUUUUUGGACCCAAGGCUCGCUUUGCGUGUCGAUUUGGGGGGAAGACAUUGUCAAGUGGGGAGUUUGGCUGGGGUGGCACAUCAGUUAAAAGAUAACGCAGGUGUCCUAAGAUGAGCUCAACGAAAAUAGAAAAAUCGUGUGGAUCAGAAGGACAACAGCCUAACGAUCUGAUUUCCCGUACGAAUACGAACCGUGAAUGCGUAGCCUAACGAUCUUUUAGACCUUCAGAGUUCUAAGCUGGAGGUGUCAGAAAAGUUACCACGAGGAUAACUAGCUUGUGGCAGCCAAGCUAUAUAGCGAAAUUUAUUUUUGAUCCUUCGAUGUCGGCUCUUCCUAUCAUUGUGAGCAGAAUUCACCAAGUGUUGGAUUGUUCACCCACAAAUAGGGAACGUGAGCUGGGUUUACACCAUCGUGAGUGAGGUUAGUUUUACCUUACUGAUGACAAUGUCACAAUAGUAAUUAAACAUAGUAAGAGAGGAACUGUAGAUUUACAUAAUUAGUCAUCGCGCUUGGUUGAAAGCCAGUGGCGCGAAGCUACCAUGUGUUGGAUUAUGAAUGAACGCCUCAAAGUCAGAAUCCAGGCAAGGAAUGACGCAUGCGCCCGCCGUCCGCUUGCCGACCCGCAGUAGGGGCCAUUAGCCCCCAAGGGAACGUUUUGUUGGCUAAGUCACCGGGACGGAAGUGGCGCGGUGACUGCCUUGAAGUACAAUUUCCCUUGAGCGGUGGGUAGAAAUCUUUGCAGAAGACAUAAAUACGUGACGGGGAAUUGUAAGUGGAAGAGUGGCCUUGCUGCCAUAAUCCACUGAGAUACAACCCUUUCUCACUCCGAUUCCA
rfam:Solanum tuberosum cultivar DM 1-3 516 R44 scf00427_49, whole genome shotgun sequence.